AGCUGGGCAGGCAGGCUAAACAUGCAAGUCGAGCGGUAGCACAGAGAGCUUGCUCUCGGGUGACGAGCGGCGGACGGGUGAGUAAUGUCUGGGAAACUGCCUGAUGGAGGGGGAUAACUACUGGAAACGGUAGCUAAUACCGCAUAACGUCGCAAGACCAAAGAGGGGGACCUUCGGGCCUCUUGCCAUCAGAUGUGCCCAGAUGGGAUUAGCUAGUAGGUGGGGUAACGGCUCACCUAGGCGACGAUCCCUAGCUGGUCUGAGAGGAUGACCAGCCACACUGGAACUGAGACACGGUCCAGACUCCUACGGGAGGCAGCAGUGGGGAAUAUUGCACAAUGGGCGCAAGCCUGAUGCAGCCAUGCCGCGUGUAUGAAGAAGGCCUUCGGGUUGUAAAGUACUUUCAGCGGGGAGGAAGGUGCUGAGGUUAAUAACCUCAGCAAUUGACGUUACCCGCAGAAGAAGCACCGGCUAACUCCGUGCCAGCAGCCGCGGUAAUACGGAGGGUGCAAGCGUUAAUCGGAAUUACUGGGCGUAAAGCGCACGCAGGCGGUCUGUCAAGUCGGAUGUGAAAUCCCCGGGCUCAACCUGGGAACUGCAUUCGAAACUGGCAGGCUAGAGUCUUGUAGAGGGGGGUAGAAUUCCAGGUGUAGCGGUGAAAUGCGUAGAGAUCUGGAGGAAUACCGGUGGCGAAGGCGGCCCCCUGGACAAAGACUGACGCUCAGGUGCGAAAGCGUGGGGAGCAAACAGGAUUAGAUACCCUGGUAGUCCACGCCGUAACGAUGUCGACUUGGAGGUUGUGCCCUUGAGGCGUGGCUUCCGGAGCUAACGCGUUAAGUCGACCGCCUGGGGAGUACGGCCGCAAGGUUAAAACUCAAAUGAAUUGACGGGGGCCCGCACAAGCGGUGGAGCAUGUGGUUUAAUUCGAUGCAACGCGAAGAACCUUACCUACUCUUGACAUCCAGAGAACUUUGCAGAGAUGCAUUGGUGCCUUCGGGAACUCUGAGACAGUGCUGCAUGGCUGUCGUCAGCUCGUGUUGUGAAAUGUUGGUUAAGUCCCGCAACGAGCGCAACCCUUAUCCUUUGUGCCAGCGGGUCCGGCCGGGGACUCAAAAGAAGACUGCCCAGUGAUAAACCUGGG
rnacentral:rRNA from 1 species